GCUGUAGCUUGGAGGCGGUACUUCCUCCAGCAUUUGCCGCGAGUUAUUGGCAAGUUCCCCUGCAGUUUGGGCUGUCUCUGUGGCUGGUUCUGCGGCGUGCGGCCAGCCAUGGAGCGCUCUGGGCCCAGCGAAGUGACAGGCUCAGACGCAUCGGGACCGGACCCGCAGCUUGCGGUCACCAUGGGCUUCACGGGGUUCGGUAAAAAAGCUCGCACAUUUGACUUGGAAGCAAUGUUUGAACAAACUCGAAGAACAGCUGUGGAAAGAAGUUGCAAAACACUGGUUCAACCCAAUGGAAAUGGAUUGAAAGAGUGAAAGUCACUGGUCUCAAAGAAUCUACGGAAUUUAGCAUUUUGAAAAUCACAUAGCAAUUUUGGGUAGGUAUUCACCUGCACUAAAAAACCAGGCAAACAUCCGACUCCCAGGAUAAAGUGACUGAGAGCAGUAGAAGACUUGUUGAGCCUUAAGGAAUAAGAGGAAAAUUACGUUAUGAAGUGCAGGAACAGCACAGACCCAGACGAGGGGACGCAGCCCGGAGCCAGUAACCCGGCGCCACCUCCUCCCCAGGGCGCAGCGCUGGCUGAUCCCCAGAUACCGUGAUCACACGUCCCGGGUCCUGAGAGCGCCUCAUAGGUAGACAGUUCUUUGGGACUUCUGGGAUGCAGCACUUGAAGAGAGGUUUACCUAAACUUUCCUCCUGGGAGCCUGUGAUCAUUUGAAAGUAACAGAAGAAAGUUGUCAGGCUGAGGAAAGUUUCAACAGGCACUUGGUGAGAAUGGGAAGCAUCCAUUCAUUGUGAAAUCGCGGGGACAGAGGAGGAAUUCACGGGAUCAGAGCACUGAGAAACUCCAGAGGCUUCUGGUUCACCGCCCUGAUUCCACAGAUGUGGGUCAGAGGCAGAGAUGGAAGUUGGAAUGGACAAGCCUGCCCUCUCCUUGGCUCUCCAUGGCUCUGUCCUCAGGCUGUUUCUGCAAUUUGACAUGAGGCCUGGCCCCAGGGAAACCAGUGGGGCCUCAUCUCCUCCCUGUGCUGCUCUGAGGUGGAGCCUUCUCAGGGUCAGUCCAGCUCUGGAGCCCCUCUCCAGCUCGGUCACCAAAGCUGUCUGGUCCCAGGGCGGUGCUGAGUGACAGGCAUGCCAGCCAAUCCAAUCGGCAAUUUCAUAUCCAAUGCAUGUGACUGAUAAAGAGAUAACGCCCUGUCUCCAAGACACAGGCUUUACAUAAACAGCUUUAAUGACUUCUUCACUUAGAGACAAGACUCCUUAGUGGUGGAACCUCAGGCAUCCGUGCAGGACGUAAGAAAGCUGCCGUAUAUACAUGAACUGAGAAGUGUGUAGAAGAAUAAAUACUGUAAUAGGUAAUAAAAUGUAUGUAUUUUUAUUUAUGUGCUACUUUGUCUUUCUCCCUCUCUGUGUAUAUACACAUACAUACAAAAAUGUAUUCAUUCUAUGGAAAACAUGAAAGAUGUAAUAUUCUUUACAUAUGAAAUUUUAAUUAAUGUAUUUUUUCUGAUCAUAUGAACACCACAAAUAUAAUUUUAUAAUUUUUUUACCUAACAAUAACUCUUAAACAUGAAUAUACAUGGACAAUAUCAUAGUUUUUUUUUUAAUCAUAAUUAAAAUGGUUGUGAAACAUUCCACUUUAA
ensembl:lncRNA GUSBP1 GUSB pseudogene 1